AUUAAUUUUAUAUCAUUUUCAUGCGAACACAAUCCGCCCUUUUCAUCCUGUAAGAUAACAGGUCACAGUUGCUUCUUGUUCUUGCGUAGGAUGCCUGCUAUCUCAAGUCCUCAAGGUCGUAAGGCUGUACCUCCUUAACCAAUACACACACACUCAUUGUAACUCUAUAAAAACUGUUAGCUCUCUUUGUCUGCAGAUUCACUCUGUGCAGACCUUUUUGACUGUACCUUGUGCUCUCUUAAUUGCAAUUAGAAUAAACCUUUUUUGCUUAUGCUCCAACGACUCAGUCAUCUUUCCUCCUUAUAACGAUUUUUGCCACUACAUGUAUCUUUGUCAUACCAGCGAUUAUUCCACUACCCAAAUGAGAUAUAUACACAACUUGUACUUUUCACAUUUCCUGUGGAUUAUUUAUGAAAUGCUUGUUUUAGUUUGUCUGAAUUAAGUUGUGAGAGAUUUUCAAAGCAAUGGAAAGAACCACUUGAAGUAGUGAGGGUCAAAUUACAACACCACAUUUCUGUAACCUUGUGAAAUCCUCAUGACUUAAAUUAGCUCAUAGAGCUAACAGUUCCUAGUUCACUUCCUACUAACGGUCACCAUACAGUAGUGAGGACUUGCAAAACUAUCUGACGGCGUAUGUGCAGUUUUUUGCCAACACAGAAAACUCCACUUCCAUUUCGGGUGUGAGACAGCGGACUGAAAGCAGACCAACUGGAACAAAGAAAAGGAAUAAUUAAAGUAAUGUUCAAGGAUCUGAAGAAAAAAGAUCUCCAUCGAGUGUGUUGACAAUGCAGGUGGAUUUCUUGGUGUGGUCAUCUAUGAGGAUAAAACAUUCCCUAUUGCUUCGCAACAGGGGCCUACUUUUGGUGCUGGACAUGGACACCAGAGGUUACUGUAGUUUACAGAUUUGUCUUACUUUCAUCAUCUUGAAUUAAUGUCUCUCUGGAUAUGUGUUGUUGCCACUAAUCUAUCAAAUGUUUUUGUCUCUCUGUUGUAUAGUUCUGUGAGACCUUUCCAAUCCCCUCAUGAGGAUGAGGCCAUGGAGUGUGAUCCUUCAGAUACUAAAACUGAUUCAAAUGGAAGCAAUGGGGCGCCACUUGUUUCCUUCACUGAUGAAGAUGAAGUCCCCAUGGAGGAGAACUAGCAGGUGUAAGAAAAUAGCUGAACAGAGCUGUAAACUCCACCCCACCCCAGAAGCAUCAACGCUUCAGAUGACAAGAUGUCCAGCAAAUAGCUGCUAAGAUUCUUAAAUAUGAUUGCUGUAGACAUAUUAACUUAAUUUAUAAUUCUGUAAUAAAAGGGCAAACCAAACAGUAGUUUACUGUGUGAUAAAGGAAGCAUUGCUGAAUGGCUAAAAACUGGAUUGCAAAGGUUCUGUCAUUACUGUAUGUUACUGUAUGACAAAAGUGAUUCUAUUUCAUAGACAUGGCAUUAGUUUUGCAUAUUAUAUUCUUUAAUCUGUUUUCCAUAUCUAUGUGUCUGUAUCUUGAGCUGCUGUGACAACUCAAGUCAUAUCUUAUCUUAUCUGAAUAUAUAAUAAAAUGGUUGUUUGUAGAGGUAGACCGAUAUAUUGGCCAGCCAAAUUUGCGUCUUUUAACUGCGUUCGUCACCGAUCAAUUAGCCCAUUUCACUGAGCCAACACCAGGCAAGGCUCGGUGCAACAUCUGCCAUUGGCUGGUGAGCUGGGUGCUGAUACCGGCAAAAAGAAAAUCACAUCAAAUAUGUGGAUCAUCUGAGGCGCCACCACCUCGAGGCCUAUAACAACAUACACAUUGUUUGCUAUCCAACUGUUAAUAUGUUUUGUUUGUUUUGUUAAUAAAUGUUUCUUUUCUUGUUGAUAUUGA